GUUUGCAUUUGUCGGGGAAGGGUGAGAACCUUCGAUUAAGGUUCGACUCGAGCGAAAGCGAGAGAACGUUGCCAACGGCAACGGCCCGAAGGGUGAGGAGCGAAGCGACGAAUAAUCCUUCCCCCACCACCA
rnacentral:sRNA from 4 species